rnacentral:rRNA from 1 species
UACAUAGGGCGCAAGCGUUAUCCGGAAUUAUUGGGCGUAAAGAGCUCGUAGGCGGUUUGUCGCGUCUGCUGUGAAAGACCGGGGCUCAACUCCGGUUCUGCAGUGGAUACGGGCAGACUAGAGUGAUGUAGGGGAGACUGGAAUUCCUGGUGUAGCGGUGAAAUGCGCAGAUAUCAGGAGGAACACCGAUGGCGAAGGCAGGUCUCUGGGCAUUAACUGACGCUGAGGAGCGAAAGCAUGGGGAGCGAACAGG